rnacentral:rRNA from 1 species
GACGAACCGUCCUAACGUUGUUCGGAAUCACUGGGCUUAAAGGGCGCGUAGGCGGGCUGCCAAGUCCGGGGUGAAAUCUUUCGGCUCAACCGUGGAACUGCUUGGUAUACUGGGUGUCUUGAGCCAUCUAGGGGCUACCGGAACAAAUGGUGGAGCGGUGAAAUGCGUAGAUAUCAUUUGGAACGCCAAUGGUGAAAACAGGUAGCUGGGGAUGUGCUGACGCUGAGACACGAAAGCCAGGGGAGCAAACGGG